UGGGAUAUAGCCAAGUGGUAAGGCAGCGGGUUUUGAUCCCGCCACCCCAGGUUCAAAUCCUGGUAUCCCAGCCA
rnacentral:tRNA from 1 species